GAAGAUGGGAGGGAGAGCAGCCUGGGGGGAGGUACUGUGUGCUGUGCCUCGCGUGGGCGGUGCAUGUGGGCCAAGCGUGUGAGUGGACGCGUGGAUGUGAGUGUACGUGCGGGGGCGCAAGGCAAGUUCGUGUCCACCCAUGCCUCCUCCCGUCUACACAUCGAUCGUAUUUGAUCGGGUUGUGGCCCCAGCCCUGCGGGGCCCAAACCAAGAUGAAAAGCUCCCAUCCUACAAAGAA